GACGAACGCUGGCGGCGUGCUUAAUACAUGCAAGUCGAACGGAAAGGCGCUGCUUUUGUGGGGUGCUCGAUUGGCGAACGGGUGAGUAUCACGUGUGUAACCUGCCCUUGACUUUGGGAUAACAUCUGGAAACUGCGGCUCAUACCGGAUAGAAGCUCCUGCACCAUGUUGGGGGAUGGAAAGUUACGGCGGUUCGGGCACGACUCGCGGGUUAUCCGCUUGAUUGGCGGGUAGUGGCUUACCAAGCCUUUGACGGGUAGCCGGCCUUAGAGAUUGACCGGCCACCUGGGGCCUGAGAUACGGCCCAGACGCGUACGUGAGGCAGCAGUGGAGAAUAUGGCACAAUGAGCGGGAGCCUGAUGCAGCGACGUCGCGUGCGGGAUGACGUCCUUCGGGUUGUAAACCGCUUUCGCCUGAGACGAAGCGUGAGUGACGGUAACGGGUAAAGAAGCACCGGCUAACUACGUG
rnacentral:rRNA from 1 species